GAUGAACGCUAGCGACAGGCUUAACACAUGCAAGUCGAGGGGCAGCAUAAAAGUAGCAAUACUUUGGUGGCGACCGGCGCACGGGUGAGUAACGCGUAUGCAACCUACCUAUCAGAGGGGAAUAACCCGGCGAAAGUCGGACUAAUACCGCAUAAAACAGGGGCACCGCAUGGUGAUAUUUGUUAAAGAAAUUCGCUGAUAGAUGGGCAUGCGUUCCAUUAGGUAGUUGGUGAGGUAACGGCUCACCAAGCCGACGAUGGAUAGGGGAACUGAGAGGUUGGUCCCCCACACUGGUACUGAGACACGGACCAGACUCCUACGGGAGGCAGCAGUGAGGAAUAUUGGUCAAUGGGGCGGGAGCCUGAACCAGCCAAGUCGCGUGAAGGAAGAAGGAUCUAUGGUUCGUAAACUUCUUUUGCAGGGGAAUAAAGUGCAGGACGUGUCCUGUUUUGUAUGUACCCUGAGAAUAAGGAUCGGCUAACUCCGUGCCAGCAGCCGCGGU
rnacentral:rRNA from 1 species